GUUGUCGCUCGGUGGUAGAACAUCUGCUUUGAGUGCAGAAGGUCCCAGGUUCGAUUUCUGCCUGAAAUC